CGUAUGGUGCAAGCGUUAUCCGGAUUUACUGGGUGUAAAGGGAGCGUAGACGGAGAGGCAAGUCUGGAGUGAAAACCCAGGGCUCAACCCUGGGACUGCUUUGGAAACUGCAAUUCUGGAGUGCCGGAGAGGUAAGCGGAAUUCCUAGUGUAGCGGUGAAAUGCGUAGAUAUUAGGAGGAACACCAGUGGCGAAGGCGGCUUACUGGACGGUGACUGACGUUGAGGCUCGAAAGCGUGGGGAGCAAACAGGAUU
rnacentral:rRNA from 1 species